UUACGACUAUAUUACGUUGAAGCACCGGUUCUCAUACGAUCAUCAAAGUUAAGCAACGUCGAGCCUGGUUAGUACCUAGAUGGAUGACUGCUGGGAAUACCAGAUGCUGUAAG